GAUGAAGAACGUAGCGAAAUGCGAUAAGUAAUGUGAAUUGCAGAAUUCAGUGAAUCAUCGAAUCUUUGAACGCACCUUGCGCUCUUUGGUAUUCCAAAGAGCAUGCCUGUUUGAGUGUCAUGAAAAUAUCAACCUUGACUUGGGUUUUGUGCUCUAGUCUCGGCUUGGAAUUGGGUGCUUGCCGCUUUUACGAGCGGCUCACCUUAAAUGUAUUGGCUGGAUCUGUCUUUGAGACUUGGUUUGACUUGGCGUAAUAAGUAUUUCGCUAAGGACAUUCUUCGGAGUGGCCUCGUUUCUAGGACGCUUGUCCGCUUUCCAAUACAAGUUCCACCUCGUGGACAUGACUUUUUAUUAUCUGGCCUCAAAUCAGGUAGGACUACCCGCUGAACUUAAGCAUAUCAAUAAGCGGAGGA
rnacentral:misc_RNA from 1 species